rnacentral:rRNA from 1 species
AACGAACGCUGGCGGCAUGCCUAACACAUGCAAGUCGAACGAGACCUUCGGGUCUAGUGGCGCACGGGUGCGUAACGCAUGGGAACCUGCCCUUAGGUUCGGAAUAACUCCCCGAAAGGGGUGCUAAUACCGGAUAAUGUCUUCGGACCAAAGAUUUAUCGCCUUUGGAUGGGCCCGCGUUGGAUUAGCUAGUUGGUAGGGUAAAAGCCUACCAAGGCGACGAUCCAUAGCUGGUCUGAGAGGAUGAUCAGCCACACUGGGACUGAGACACGGCCCAGACUCCUACGGGAGGCAGCAGUGGGGAAUAUUGGACAAUGGGCGAAAGCCUGAUCCAGCAAUGCCGCGUGAGUGAUGAAGGCCUUAGGGUUGUAAAGCUCUUUUACCCGGGAUGAUAAUGACAGUACCGGGAGAAUAAGCGCCGGCUAACUCCGUG